rnacentral:rRNA from 1 species
UCAAGAUGACUCUCGGCAACGGAUAUCUCGGCUCUCGCAUCGAUGAAGAACGUAGCAAAAUGCGAUACUUGGUGUGAAUUGCAGAAUCCCGCGAACCAUCGAGUCUUUGAACGCAAGUUGCGCCCGAGGCCACUAGGCUGAGGGCUCGCCUGCCUGGCGUCA